AAAAAAAAAGAAGAUGAAGGUAAAAUGUGUGUGUCUUGUCUUUAUGAUAAAACGACGUCGAUCCCCAACGGAUUGAGAUAGACAAGUCAUAAAACGUUAGCAUCGGUACAAAUUUUACAGUCGCUCUUUUCUUUCAUUUGUAUCUAAUUCCCUUUUACACUCAAAUACAGUGGGCCGAUUGGGAUCUGCUGAUAAAGUGCAAAUGAACCUGUUGGUUAAUAUCAAACUCACAGUAAGUGUAUAUAGGAUAAUAAUCUAACAAUCUCCCAUCUUACGUACCCUAAAGAUUGCAUAGUAGCAAACAAUUUUGUCUCCGCUGCAGCCAAUUCAAUGCAGGAGAUAUCCCCUGACUCCGUUUGUUGGCAAACUCGUUCAGUUUGAUUGUUUAGACUUUCAAAGAAGACCUUCUGUUCUUUGGUUGAAUCCUUCAAAAAUUCUUGUACUUUUUCUUCCAUUAUGCUCUUUCAGAGGAAGAUUCAGUCGUACUGCUAUAUCUAAUAAGUUGAAGUCAGGCUAACGCUGUUUAAGAGCUGCAUGUCAUGAGUAUUGCUGAGUAACUUUAACACGCUUGUAGACAGAUAUCAAAACUCACAAAUGGCCCGUAGUUUAGCAACAACAUCAAAUGUUGUUCUGUUCUUACAAUUUCUUACGAUUUUGUUACUAACGUUGAGACUUUAGUCAAUCAUCAACUCGCUGUGCUUUUAAAUUUGCUAUCACAGAUA